rnacentral:tRNA from 1 species
GGCCUGAUGGUCUAGUAGUAUGAUUCCUUGUUAGGGUUUGAACUUUCGAGGAGGUCCCGGGUUCAAUUCCCGGUCAGGCCC